GUAGGUGGCAAGCGUUGUCCGGAAUUAUUGGGCGUAAAGCGCGCGCAGGCGGUUCUUUAAGUCUGAUGUGAAAGCCCACGGCUCAACCGUGGAGGGUCAUUGGAAACUGUAGAACUUGAGUACAGAAGAGGAAAGCGGAAUUCCACGUGUAGCGGUGAAAUGCGUAGAGAUGUGGAGGAACACCAGUGGCGAAGGCGGCUUUCUGGUCUGUAACUGACGCUGAGGCGCGAAAGCGUGGGGAGCAAACAGGAUUAGAUACCCUGGUAGUCCACGCCGUAAACGAUGAGUGCUAAGUGUUAGGGGGGUUUCCGCCCCCCUUAGUGCUGCAGCUAACGCAUUAAGCACUCCGCCUGGGAGUACGGCCGCAAGGCUG
rnacentral:rRNA from 1 species